rfam:Myotis lucifugus cont2.54609, whole genome shotgun sequence.
ACUAAAUAAAUAAAUAAAUAAAUAAAAAGGAACAAUAUAGAGAUUAGCAUGUCCCCUGCGCAAGGAUGACAUGCAAAUCUACGAAGUGUUCCAUAUUAGA